UACGUAGGGGGCAAGCGUUGUCCGGAUUUAUUGGGCGUAAAGAGCGUGUAGGCGGCCAUGUAGGUCCGUUGUGAAAACUCGAGGCUCAACCUCGAGACGCCGAUGGAAACCAUGUGGCUAGAGUCCGGAAGAGGAGAGUGGAAUUCCUGGUGUAGCGGUGAAAUGCGCAGAUAUCAGGAGGAACACCAAUGGCGAAGGCAGCACUCUGGGACGUGACUGACGCUGAGGCGCGAAAGCGUGGGGAGCAAACAGG
rnacentral:rRNA from 1 species